GCAAAUGAAGGAAAUCUUUCCCCAUAUCUAUCUUCAUUUGGCCGACUAAGAAAUCAAAACCCUAACCUCUCUUAAUUUUCCCUCAACCGAUCCUAACACCCCUCUCUUAAUUACCGAUCUGCCUCUAUCAAUGGUGACGAAUAGAUUCGUGCUUCGAGGGAUGACAAUCUCGACCACAAGAUUCCUUCUACGCUUCGAUUUCAACGAAGAAGACGGAAUCUCUUAGCACAUCCGCAAGCCACAACAAAAGAGAAAAAUUACAAAGUUUCUGCUUGGUUUUUUCUCUUGUUGUUGUGUCCGCCCUUUGCUUGUCUUAUUUUGCAGGUACGGAGGCAACGUGGCGGGGGUAGCUGGCGUGUAUGGAUGUUGCUGGUGGCGUAGCUGCUGCUAGGGCUAGGCUUUGCUGCAAACAUGGUUUAAGUUUUGGGCCCUUUUUGGGCUUAGGGUUUUAUUAGUUUUGGGUUUUAAAUUUGGGUUUGGGUUUGUAAUGUUUUGGGUUUUAAAUUUAGGUCAUGUAAUUUGGAUUUUGAUGAUGGACUAUUAAUUUAUUUAGUCUUUAUUUUUGA